GCCUUCCUUCAGUUUAGAUACAUCUUAAUCUAUCUUCAUCGUCAUAAUAAUUGAUCAGAAAUCUUUGAGUAAUUUCCGAACUUGCUCUAAUGUCACAAAUAGCACAACAGUGAAAGGUCCUUGCCUUGAAAUUGUAGGGAUAAAUCCCUUAUACAAGGCCAUAGGACCCUCUGCCUUGACAGUCUUCAGUGCACAAUCUAAUGCACCCUUAUAAGGUGGCUCAACCCCGGGCUCAACCUUCAUGUUCAUAACUCUAGUCUUGAUCACAUCAAUAGGGUUUGAAGCAACGGAAGCCACAAAACCAGCCAGAAAACUUGCUGCGACAUGGGUGCCGAUCCCAUCACUCAUCAAACCCUUCUCCAAGAUCAUCUCCUUCGCUUGGUCAUAUGAUGCAAGCUGUGAUGCAGUCACAAUCAUCGCACGGUUGACAGUAAGACCCGAACCCCGCCACAGACUAGCGACACCCUCCUGCUUUGACAUUUGACUUAAGGCAUCGACAACACUCUUGUAAUUUCUGCGCUGAUCAAUCGGGAGACGUCCAUCAGCCUGCAUACGGACCAUCGCUACAUCAGCAGGGUUACCAACAGCAGCCCCGACAGCACCUGAGAUUAGUCCAGCCACGAUCUUACGUACAAGUGGCAUGGUAUUAGUAUCUGGAUCCGUCCAUUUAUGUUUGAGGACAUCAUAAAGGCCCAUACGGGUGGUGGAGUAUAAGGUUUGGCGGAGGAUGGUAGCGGAGACACCAGAGAAAAGGGCGGCAGCACCCUCGGAUUGGAUGAUACGGACACCAAUGGAAAGGGGUCCCACACGGGGUGGAGGAGGGAGUUCUAAGGUGGCUGGUAAGGAGAUGUUGGCCGUAGAGCUCAACGUAAAAGCAGGGCGAUAGGAUUGCACGGAGGAUAGAUUUGGGAUUUGGGAUUCACCUUGAAGUUGCAUACGGACCUUGAUUAAAUCCAAAGGAUGAGUGGAAGCACCGGCAAUGAUGGAGGCAACACCACCUUCAGCAAAACCUUUCAAACCCAUGAUAUAAUUUCUAAUGGGACUUUCAAAAGCUGAUGAUCAAACAAAGAAUUGAACGAUGUGAAUAUAUAUGAGAGAGAGAAGUGAGAUGUAGUGGGGUGUUGAUGAGUUUAUUGCCAUCAUCCAUCCAUUUUUAUAUAUAGUGUCGACUGGGAGCAGGGAAAGAACAGAGAAGCUUCCAACCUUCAUGGAAGCAUGACGCGGCAAUCCAACUACACAAGUGUUUUUGCUUGUGCCUCUUUAUGGCAGUCUUGGUUUGACCUUGACAAUUGAAUAAUCAUAUACUAUUCAACUUCUCUGUCACCGAUGGUAUUUUAUUAUUUUUGGCACUUGUUCUUCGGGUUCCUUGAGAAAGACCUGAUCAACAUGCAAUAAAUUAACACUCGAUGUCUCGAUCAAUAACCCGUUGAUCCUGUCCAAAUUUAUUCUAAAUCUUUAGAAUUUCUUUCUCCAUAUAA